GGAUUAGAUACCCUGGUAGUCCACGCAGUAAACGAUGAUUACUAGGAGUUUGCGAUAUACCGUCAAGCUUCCACAGCGAAAGCGUUAAGUAAUCCACCUGGGGAGUACGCCGGCAACGGUGAAACUCAAAGGAAUUGACGGGGGCCCGCACAAGCGGAGGAACAUGUGGUUUAAUUCGAUGAUACGCGAGGAACCUUACCCGGGAUUGAAAUGUAGACGACGGAUGGUGAAAGCCGUCUUCCCUUCGGGGCGUCUAUGUAGGUGCUGCAUGGUUGUCGUCAGCUCGUGCCGUGAGGUGUCGGCUUAAGUGCCAUAACGAGCGCAACCCACAUCGGUAG
rnacentral:rRNA from 1 species